rnacentral:rRNA from 1 species
UGCCAGCCGCCGCGGUAAUACGGAGGGUGCAAGCGUUGUUCGGAUUUACUGGGCGUAAAGAGCGCGUAGGCGGCUUCAUAAGUUAAGGGUGAAAUCCCGGGGCUUAACUCCGGAACUGCUCUUAAAACUGUGGAGCUAGAGACAAUCAGAGGUGGGUGGAAUUCCAGGUGUAGAGGUGAAAUUCGUAGAUAUCUGGAGGAACACCGGUGGCGAAGGCAGCAGACUGGCGCAUUUCUGACGCUGAGACACGAAAGCGUGGGUAGCAAACAGGAUUAGAUA